AACAAUCAGCAGCUCCACACAGACACGUUUGGAACAACUUUACUUCUGGUACCAGAGUGCAGGCUUUCUGUACAAGAACAAAAAAAAAAAGAACAUUUGAAAAAUUUUUUUACUCUUGGCAUUUUUUUUUUAACCAUUAAAAAAAAAGAAAAGGUACUCCUGAAAGCCACCACUUGUAGUAAAUGUGGGAGGAGGUGCACAUCCCCCUACUCAUCCCUUUGGGAUGGUGAAUGCCCCCUGCUCCUGCCCCGCAGGCUCCAGGUGGGGGUCUCCUGCCCAUCCCCACGCUCCUCAGGUAGGGGCUGAGGGCUGGAGGUAGCACAGGAGCUGCAGGGCAUCCGAAGCAUGCGGUACAAUAGGGGCUGUGGGGAGAGUGCACUUUGCCAUUAGGGCUUGCUGAAGGCUUCCCUGCAGGACACAGGCGUGGUGGAUGCAGCACAGCUGCACAGCAGGACCACCCUCAUGGGGACACUGCUAAAGCAAUGGUGUUGGUUGCUGUAAUUGACUUUAUUUAUUCAUUUACUUGCUCUUGCAGGAGUGUUUUUCGGACUGAAAAUUAUUAUUGUUUUUGAUUGAACAUUUGCUCGAGUAAAAAAAGGAUCUGAACAAUCUUAACAGUAGAAAGGGGCAGCCUGGCCAUGCACAGAGGAAGAGUUACUGGUUUUAUUAUUAUUAUUAUAAUGUAGGACCACAGACAGCCCCUGAAGGAAGCAGUCAGGUGCUGAGAGCAGUAUCUGGUUGGAUUCUCUUUUAGAAUGUCAUAAAUUAGCAACUUAUACUUUUUCUUUUUAAAAAAGGAAUAAAUAAAUAAAUUAAAAAGAGAGAGAAAGCGUGAGGUGCAGGAGUGUACAGCAACGCGACAGCAGAAAUGGCCACAGAAAAUACAAGAAAUGCAGAAAAAGAAAAAAAAAGAAAAAAAAAGCCCAGGUUGAACUUGGUUUGCAAUCAGCAUGUUUUGGAAGUAUCAUUUAUGAAGGUAUUUCAUAUACCCAAAAGGCACCGCAGUAUCUACAAAGCCAAAUCCUUGGGAGUUUGGGUGGGGCAGAGGAGGGCCGCAGCCCUCCUGGGAGCUCCGAGCACCACCAGUCCGUCCUGUGUUUGGUUUUGCUGUUGGUAAAGACAUGAAAUAAAGGACAGAUGUGAAAAAUGGGGACGGGGCUCUGACCUUGUGAAACAACAGGUGGGAAUUCCUAGGAUUAAGCCUUAAAGAAUCAGAAUGGAUGACAAAAACCCCACCACACCCACACUUAGGUGCACACAGCCGCCCCGUCUGUUCCCACUGCAGCUGAUGAUUCCAGGUCACCACACCCCACACAUCAGCCACCACCACAGCACCGCCACCGCAACAGCAACAGCUGAAACCGCCCCGGCUGCUCCGUGUUGAGUCCGAGCUCUCAGCACGUGGGUAAAUGGAAACCUGGGAGCUGCCACGGUACCACUGCAGCUGGUCUGCCUGGCCCUGCACCCUGCCAUUCACAGAGCAGCACUUCAACAGAGGAAUAGGAAAGAAAGAGGGGAAAAAAAAAAAAAAAAAAGAAAGAAAAGAAACAUUGGGAAUCUUGUGUUUACUAGUAUUCAGUACAUGGGAGACUCCUAAAGAAUAACUUGUCCUCCUAAUUAACCUUGUCCUGGAAUAUAUACAGGUUAUUUGUCGCUGCCACAGCAAUGAUAUUCUCCGAAGGGUGCCAAGCUGUAUGCAAGAUCUUUUUGCUGAAGUCCAGACUGUCCACGCUGAUCUCAUCUUUCCUCCUCUUGCCCCCCACGCAGACCUUGCGGGGUUUGAGGACGGCCCGCGGUUUGCUGUUCUCCCGCGAGGCCUCCAGCGUCACGUCCCGCUUGGUGUUGCGGUCAAACAUGCGGAAGAAGUUGUUGUAGGAGCCAGUCAUGAUGACACUGUCGGAGCCGUUCCACACGCACUCAAACUUGUCGAAGAUGCAGUCGUUCUCAUACAGCGAGCACAGCUUGCUCCGCAGGUAGUCGUGGACCUGGUACGUCUCGAUGGGCCGGUUCUCCAUGUUCAAG
rnacentral:lncRNA from 1 species